rnacentral:rRNA from 1 species
AUUGAACGCUAGCGGCAGGCUUAAUACAUGCAAGUCGAGGGGUAACAGGUCUGUAGCAAUACAGAUGCUGACGACCGGCAAACGGGUGCGGAACACGUACAGAACCUUCCUUCGAGUGGGAGAUAGCCCAGGGAAACUUGGAGUAAUAUCCCAUAGGAUCAUAGAGUGGCAUCACUUAGUGAUUAAAGAUUUAUCGCUUGAAGAUGGCUGUGCGGCUGAUUAGGUAGUUGGUGUAGGUAACGGCUCACCAAGCCUUCGAUCAGUAACUGGUGUGAGAGCACGACCAGUCACACGGGCACUGAGACACGGGCCCGACUCCUACGGGAGGCAGCAGUAAGGAAUAUUGGGCAAUGGAGGCAACUCUGACCCAGCCAUGCCGCGUGGAGGAUGAAGGUCCUCUGGAUUGUAAACUUCUUUUAUUUGGGAAGAAAUGCCGAUUUUCUAAUUGGUUUGACGGUACCAGAUGAAUAAGCACCGGCUAACUCCGUGCCAGCAGCCGCAGUAACAC